AUUGAACGCUGGCGGCAUGCCUUACACAUGCAAGUCGAACGGUAACAGGGAGCUUGCUCCGCUGACGAGUGGCGAACGGGUGAGUAAUGUAUCGGAACGUACCUUUUAGUGGGGGAUAACGUAGCGAAAGUUACGCUAAUACCGCAUAUUCUCUGAGGAGGAAAGCAGGGGACCUUCGGGCCUUGCGCUAAUAGAGCGGCUGAUAUCAGAUUAGCUAGUUGGUGAGGUAAAGGCUCACCAAGGCGACGAUCUGUAGCGGGUCUGAGAGGAUGAUCCGCCACACUGGAACUGAGACACGGUCCAGACUCCUACGGGAGGCAGCAGUGGGGAAUUUUGGACAAUGGGGGCAACCCUGAUCCAGCCAUGCCGCGUGUGUGAAGACGGCCUUCGGGUUGUAAACCGCUUUCAGUUGGGACGAAGCCUUUGCGGUGAAUAGCCGUGGAAGGUGACGGUACCUUCAGAAGAAGCCCCGGCUAACUACGUGCCAGCAGCCGCGGUAAAAC
rnacentral:rRNA from 1 species